AAAUUUGUUACAAAAAUGCUAAAUGUGCCAUGAAACUUGCUUAGUACGGGCCUGUAGUAAGGCCGUUCUUUGCAAGUUUUGUUCCAAUUUCAGUAAUAUCUUCCAAUUUUCCA
rnacentral:precursor_RNA from 10 species